rnacentral:rRNA from 1 species
AGUAAUGUAUGGGGAUCUGCCCGAUAGAGGGGGAUAACUACUGGAAACGGUGGCUAAUACCGCAUAAUGUCUACGGACCAAAGCAGGGGCUCUUCGGACCUUGCACUAUCGGAUGAACCCAUAUGGGAUUAGCUAGUAGGUGGGGUAAAGGCCCACCUAGGCGACGAUCUCUAGCUGGUCUGAGAGGAUGAUCAGCCACACUGGGACUGAGACACGGCCCAG